AACGUAGGUUCCGAGCGUUAUCCGGAUUUACUGGGCGUAAAGCGCGUUCAGGCGGUUUGGCAAGUCGGGCAUGAAAUCUCUCGGCUCAACCGGGAGAGGUUGUCCGAUACUGCUGGACUUGAGGGCAGUAGAGGGUGGUGGAAUUCCGGGUGUAGUGGUGAAAUGCGUAGAUAUCCGGAGGAACACCAGUGGCGAAAGCGGCCACCUGGACUGUACCUGACGCUGACACGCGAAAGCUAGGGGAGCGAACAGG
rnacentral:rRNA from 1 species